GCUCAGCAGGCUGAGUUGAGAGGAACUCUUGAGUCUAGGAGUUCAUUAGCUGAGACCUAUUCUGGAACGUGCUACCUCCCUGGUACUCCAGGCCUGCCCUACAUGCAGGUUGAGCAAGAUCCCACAGCUGGAGACGCAGAUGUCUGCAUGAGAAGCCUAUAGGACACACAGCAAUGUUGAGUGCCCUGGGGCUGCAGGCAUGGUGGUGUGUACAGGGAAUUCUGAGCUGAUACAGAAAAUGUCCUAAUCAGGCACAAUCAGGGCAUUGUGGAGCCCUGAGGAGGGACUGACUCACCCUCCGGCCACUCUGGCAUGGCUCCUGGAUGGGCCAUGAAACUUCCUGUCCUGAGGCCUUUGCCUGUGCCAUUUCCUCUGCCUGGAAGGCCCCUUCCCAUCCCUUCCUGGCUGGGGCCUUGGCUGGCUGACCCCUGCUUGCCCCUUUGGAUGAGGCUCCAUUGGAACUUGGUGCUGGACUCCUCCCAGACACCCGGCUUCCCUCCUGACGAGGGUCUUUCCACACCAGCUCUGUCUACACCAGCACCGGCUGCCCUGUCGCGCUGGUGUCUGCUCCUUGGAUGUCUCCUCCACCAGUCUGUGAUCAGUCCUUGAGGUCAGGGAUGGUGGCUUAUUGAUCUGCAUUAUUAGCACUCAGUUCAGUAAAUAUUUGUUGAUGAAUUGUGUCAACCUUAAAUAAUGAGAUUCAGAAAAUACGAUCAAGUACAGAGUUUAUUUGAGCACAAAGCUUGGGUAUGGCCACCCAGGAAGGCACCGACUCUAGAUGAAUGGAGUCAAUGUUUCCAAAGUGGAGGAGUUAAGAUUUCACUUCCAGAGUGAAAUCUGUCACUUCCAGAGACGGAGAAGUUCCAGUAGGGUUACAGCAUUUUCCAUGCAAGACCAGGUGCAUAUGCCACAGUGAUUUAGUUGGUUACAAGUUGCUACAUUCCCAGCAAGAUUACUUUAUUACUCUGUAAGGAGGGGUAGUGAUCUGAGGGAGGUCUUAUCUCUGGCGCCAUUUGGUCGUAAUUAUUUACAGAAAAAAAAGGGUAAAAGGUGCAGCUGCAUGAGCAUGACGCAGGCUGCAUAGUCACAUUUCUUCGAGGCUUAGGAAAAUUUAAGUUCCAACAGCCGUAAAUUCAAAUUAUCUUAAAUUUGAAUUAUUUAGUUUCGCAACCAGAUUAUUUGGGUAUAACAGUUGUGGGAGGGGGAGUUGUGUCUCAGCUGGGUACUGAAGGAUGAAUAGGAAUUUGCCAGAGGGGGCAUUCCAGGCAGAGGGAAGAGCCUUUGCAAAGGACAUGGUGUUUGAAAAGCAGGUGAGACGGUGCUGCUCAGCAAGGAAGGGUGCAAGAGGGAAGGGCCAGGAAGAGGCUGGAGAGGGAGGCAGUGGCCAGAUGAUGGCCGGUGAAGGAGCUGGGGCCUCAGCAGGGAAGAAAUUCGUGAAGUGCCCCCAGUAGUGCCAAUCAAGUCUGCAAUACAUAUUGCUGUGGGCUGCUGAGCAGACGAUAGACUGGAGGGUGAAAGAAACCGAGAUAUUUCACCCCAAAAUAUACAUCUUUGACACAUUUCAAGAUUGCUAUUUGGAAGGGAUGGAGCUGUAAGAAUAGCCAGAAAACUUUUUUUUUCAGACAGAGUGUUGCUCUGUUGCCCAGAGCUGGAGUGCAAUGGCAUGAUCUCGGCUCACUGCAAC
rnacentral:lncRNA from 10 species